rnacentral:rRNA from 1 species
AUUGAACGCUGGCGGCAGGCUUAACACAUGCAAGUCGAGCGGGGGGAAGGUAGCUUGCUACCUAACCUAGCGGCGGACGGGUGAGUAAUGCUUAGGAAUCUGCCUAUUAGUGGGGGACAACAUUUCGAAAGGGAUGCUAAUACCGCAUACGCCCUAAGGGGGAAAGCAGGGGAUCUUCGGACCUUGCGCUAAUAGAUGAGCCUAAGUCGGAUUAGCUAGUUGGUGGGGUAAAGGCCUACCAAGGCGACGAUCUGUAGCGGGUCUGAGAGGAUGAUCCGCCACACUGGGACUGGGACACGGCCCAGACUCCUAUGGGAGGCAGCAGUGGGGAAUAUUGGACAAUGGGGGGAACCCUGAUCCAGCCAUGCCGCGUGUGUGAAGAAGGCCUUUUGGUUGUAAAGCACUUUAAGCGAGGAGGAGGCUACCGAGAUUAAUACUCUUGGAUAGUGGACGUUACUCGCAGAAUAAGCACCGGCUAACUCUGUGCCAGCAGCCGCCGUAAUAC